UACAGAGGGGGCAAGCGUUGUUCGGAAUUACUGGGCGUAAAGGGCGCGUAGGCGGCCGCCUAAGUCAGACGUGAAAUCCCUCGGCUCAACCGGGGAACUGCGUCUGAUACUGGGUGGCUUGAAUCCGGGAGAGGGAUGCGGAAUUCCAGGUGUAGCGGUGAAAUGCGUAGAUAUCUGGAGGAACACCAACGGCGAAGGCAGCUCGCUGGGACGGUACUGACGCUGAGGCGCGAAAGCGUGGGGAGCGAACAGG
rnacentral:rRNA from 1 species